CUACGGGGGGCAGCAGCUGCGAAUUUUUUACAAUGCACGAAAGUGUGAUAAAGCGAGCCAAAGUGCUUGGCAUUUAGCCAAGCUUUUCUUUAGCGUAAAAACCUAGAGGAAUAAGGACUGUGAAAGACCGGUGCCAGCCGCCGCGGUAAUACCGGCAGUUCAAGUCGCAUCCAACUUUAUUGGGUCUAAAACAUCCGUAGCUUGCUAUUUAAGUCUCUUGUGAAAUCUCACGUCCCAAGCGUGGCGAAGUGCAGGAGAUACUGAAUAGCUUUUGAGAUCGGUAGACGUAAGGAGUACGGCCAAGGUAAUGGUAAAAUAUGUUAAUCUUGGUUGGACUAACAAUUUAGCGAAGGCACCUUACGAGGACGAAUCUGACAGUGAGGGAUGAAGGCCAGGGGCGCAAAACGGAUUAGAUACCCUAGUAGUC
rnacentral:rRNA from 1 species